GGUUAAGUGACUAAGCGUACACGGUGGAUGCCUAGGCAGUCAGAGGCGAUGAAGGGCGUGCUAAUCUGCGAAAAGCGUCGGUAAGGUGAUAUGAACCGUUAUAACCGGCGAUACCCGAAUGGGGAAACCCAGUGUGUUUCGACACACUAUCAUGUCAUGAAUACAUAGUGGCAUGAGGCGAACCGGGGGAACUGAAACAUCUAAGUACCCCGAGGAAAAGAAAUCAACCGAGAUUCCCCCAGUAGCGGCGAGCGAACGGGGAGGAGCCCAGAACCUGAAUCGGCUUGUGUGUUAGUGGAAGCGUCUGGAAAGUCGCGCAGCAAAGGGUGAUAGCCCCGUACACUAAAAUGCACAGGUCGUGAGUUCGAUGAGUAGGGCGGGACACGUGACAUCCUGUCUGAAUAUGGGGGGACCAUCCUCCAAGGCUAAAUACUCCUGACUGACCGAUAGUGAACCAGUACCGUGAGGGAAAGGCGAAAAGAACCCCGGCGAGGGGAGUGAAAUAGAACCUGAAACCGUGUACGUACAAGCAGUGGGAGCACCUUCGUGGUGUGACUGCGUACCUUUUGUAUAAUGGGUCAGCGACUUAUAUUUUGUAGCAAGGUUAACCGUAUAGGGGAGCCGUAGGGAAACCGAGUCUUAACUGGGCGACUAGUUGCAAGGUAUAGACCCGAAACCCGGUGAUCUAGCCAUGGGCAGGUUGAAGGUUGGGUAACACUAACUGGAGGACCGAACCGACUAAUGUUGAAAAAUUAGCGGAUGACUUGUGGCUGGGGGUGAAAGGCCAAUCAAACCGGGAGAUAGCUGGUUCUCCCCGAAAGCUAUUUAGGUAGCGCCUCGUGAACUCAUCUUCGGGGGUAGAGCACUGUUUCGGCUAGGGGGCCAUCCCGGCUUACCAAACCGAUGCAAACUCCGAAUACCGAAGAAUGUUAUCACGGGAGACACACGGCGGGUGCUAACGUCCGUCGUGAAGAGGGAAAGAACCCAGACCGCCAGCUAAGGUCCCAAAGUCAUGGUUAAGUGGGAAACGAUGUGGGAAGGCAUAGACAGCCAGGAUGUUGGCUUAGAAGCAGCCAUCAUUUAAAGAAAGCGUAAUAGCUCACUGGUCGAGUCGGCCUGCGCGGAAGAUGUAACGGGGCUAAACCAUGCACCGAAGCUGCGGCAGCGACGCUUAGCGUUGUUGGGUAGGGGAGCGUUCUGUAAGCCGUUGAAGGUGGCCUGUGAGGGUUGCUGGAGGUAUCAGAAGUGCGAAUGCUGACAUAAGUAACGAUAAAGCGGGUGAAAAGCCCGCUCGCCGGAAGACCAAGGGUUCCUGUCCAACGUUAAUCGGGGCAGGGUGAGUCGACCCCUAAGGCGAGGCUGAAAAGCGUAGUCGAUGGGAAACAGGUUAAUAUUCCUGUACUUGGUGUUACUGCGAAGGGGGGACGGAGAAGGCUAGGCUGGCCGGGCGACGGUUGUCCCGGUUUAAGCGUGUAGGGGGUGUGACCUGGUAAAUCCGGUUGCAUACUAACCCUGAGGCGUGAUGACGAUGCACUACGGUGCAGAAGUAGUUGAUGCCCUGCUUCCAGGAAAAUCCUCUAAGCUCCAGGUAACAUUAAAUCGUACCCCAAACCGACACAGGUGGUCAGGUAGAGAAUACCAAGGCGCUUGAGAGAACUCGGGUGAAGGAACUAGGCAAAAUGGUGCCGUAACUUCGGGAGAAGGCACGCUGGCAUGUAGGUGAAGUCCCUUGCGGAUGGAGCUGAAGCCAGUCGAAGAUACCAGCUGGCUGCAACUGUUUAAUAAAAACACAGCACUGUGCAAACACGAAAGUGGACGUAUACGGUGUGACGCCUGCCCGGUGCUGGAAGGUUAAUUGAUGGGGUCAGCCGCAAGGCGAAGCUCUUGAUCGAAGCCCCAGUAAACGGCGGCCGUAACUAUAACGGUCCUAAGGUAGCGAAAUUCCUUGUCGGGUAAGUUCCGACCUGCACGAAUGGCGUAAUGAUGGCCAGGCUGUCUCCACCCGAGACUCAGUGAAAUUGAACUCGCUGUGAAGAUGCAGUGUACCCGCGGCAAGACGGAAAGACCCCGUGAACCUUUACUAUAGCUUGACACUGAACAUUGAGCCUUGAUGUGUAGGAUAGGUGGGAGGCUUUGAAGCGUGGACGCCAGUCUGCGUGGAGCCAUCCUUGAAAUACCACCCUUUAAUGUUUGAUGUUCUAACUCGGCCCCGUGAUCCGGGGUGAGGA
rnacentral:rRNA from 1 species